rnacentral:rRNA from 1 species
GAUGAGCGCUAGCGGCAGGCCUAACACAUGCAAGUCGAGGGGGAAGUUACUUUCGGGUGACUGAGACCGGCGUACGGGUGCGUAACGCGUAUACAAUCUGCCUUUCACUGGGGGAUAGCCCGAAGAAAUUUGGAUUAAUACCCCAUAGUAUAUAGGGACGGCAUCGUUUUUAUAUUAAAGCUUAGGUGGUGAAAGAUGAGUAUGCGUUCUAUUAGCUAGUUGGAAAGGUAACGGCUCCCCAAGGCGAUGAUAGAUAGGGGUUCUGAGAGGGAUGUCCCCCACACUGGUACUGAGAUACGGACCAGACUCCUACGGGAGGCAGCAGUGAGGAAUAUUGGACAAUGGUCGGAAGACUGAUCCAGCCAUGCCGCGUGCAGGAUGAAGGUCUUAUGGAUUGUAAACUGCUUUUGUAAGGGAAGAAUAAGGGCUACGCGUAGUUUGAUGACGGUACCUUACGAAUAAGCAUCGGCUAACUCCGUG